rnacentral:rRNA from 1 species
AGAGGUGGCAAGCGUUGUUCGGAAUUACUGGGCGUAAAGGGCGCGUAGGCGGUCGCCUAAGUCGGACGUGAAAUCCCCAAGCUUAACUUGGGAACUGCGUCCGAUACUGGGUGACUUGAGUUCGGGAGAGGAAUGUGGAAUUCCAGGUGUAGCGGUGAAAUGCGUAGAUAUCUGGAGGAACACCGGUGGCGAAGGCGGCAUUCUGGACCGAAACUGACGCUGAGGCGCGAAAGCCAGGGGAGCAAACGGGAUUAGAUACCCCGGUAGUCCUGGCCCUAAACGAUGAGUGCUUGGUGUGGCGGGUAUCGAUCCCUGCCGUGCCGAAGCUAACGCAUUAAGCACUCCGCCUGGGGAGUACGGUCGCAAGGCUGAA